UUUGCACUCAGAGGAGGUGUUUGCUCUUUAUUAUGAGAGCAAAGGAGAACCAUUGAAAUGUUUUAAGUAGGGAACUAGGAAGGUCAGAUUUCUGCUUUGGAAAAAUCACUUUGUCUGAGGAGUAGCAAAUGGAUUUGACAACAGGGCAAAAAAUUACCCUGCCGUUUAAUGAGUACCUGUUAACAUGUGUCAUUUAAUUUAUUUUAGUUAAUCCAUAUAGUAACCCUGCAAGAUAGGUAUUGAUACCUUCAUGUUAUAGAUGAAGAAACUGAGGCUCAGGAAGGUGAAAGAAUUUGUCCUGGUUCACAUAGCUACCAAGUGGUGGAGCCUGAAUUCAAACGCAGAGUUACCUGCCUCUAAGCACAUGCCAUGUCCGCUCUGCCAGGCUGUCCCCGUAAUAGAGGCCAGCACUGUGGCAGCCUCCUCCUGGUCACAGCACAGUAUGUGUGCAGGUUCAGGGCCUGCCAACAGGGCUCACCCUCCCUGGGUGGAACCAGCAGCACUUUCUCGGGCAGCUCGGUAAUUGGUAGUUCAGGUUUAUCUCCUGGACCUCAGCUCAGCCACCACUCCAGCUCCUCAUGGGCUGUCUUAGCUCACACCCUCAUUUCCAUUCACAGUUCAUAAUAGAAAAGAGGAUUCUAGAACAGUGUAUAUCUCUUGACUUCUUACUCGCUGAUUGGACAGAGCCUGCUUCUGGUGCAGCUAUGCCAGCCUGGCUUUGCUGGCAUUGUUACGGUCCUCUGAUCCUUUAGGGAGAGCUGCUUUUGUGAGAGCGAGAUCGGCUGGAAUGUGCCUCUGAUCUCAUACAGAUCUAAUCUGCCUUCUUGAGAUGCAUCUUUAUCAGGCUCUCUUCAGCUGAGACUGACGUUUAGGGGAAGGUGGUUAUAGCACUUGUUUAAUCGCCAUUGAAGAUCUGAAAGAAGUAAAAGGUAAAUACCUGUGUG